rnacentral:lncRNA from 1 species
UGACAUAUUGCUCUUUAAAUAGCAAUAAUUAUAAAUAAUGUGCACCUGAAGUAGCACAUUUUUUAAUAUUAUAUUAUUUUGAAUUCAUAUCUGUAAAACGUGCUUGCAAGUUUAUAAUCGAGUUCCAAGUAGUGAUACUUACUUGAAAUCGCAGAAUCGAGGUUGAAUUACUUUGCUUUUAAAUCUCCAAAAUCUAUAUUUUCUUGUACUCCAAUGGUCCAAAUCCCCAUCACAAUGGAAGGGGAUUAUUGUCCACAAUCUAAGUGUCAUUUAUUGCGAGAUUUCAUUCCAAAAAUGCGAUUCUAGGUACUUUCCAAUUUUGAGGUGAAUUUCCAUACAAAAUUUUCACCAUUUUUCUCAUGUCUUGUAUUUUCCCUCGCUUUUCCAUAACUUCUAUAUGGAAGUUUCAAGUAGUUAUUUAAGAGUUUUUAGGAGUUAUGAACUUAAAUUCUAUUUAAAACAUUCUCUCCUCACCACUUUUGAAAUCUUGUGGGUCGGGUCACCCCACAUGGGUGACCCAUUACCCAUAUUUUCUAACAUCUCCCACUCGCACAUGAUGGGGUUGAUCCGAACCACAAGUGAUAACGAAUGUCACAUCUUAGAUCUUUCUCAAGAUCUAUCUCACAAAGAUUCAUAUGGAAAAUAGAUCGUGUGACUAGCGAGUAAUAUUAGAGCUCACGGUAUUAUAAACAUGUUAGAGAUAUAUAGUAGCUCUUUUAAAGGAACAUCACAUCUCUCUAUACCCCAAACUCAUUUUCCAAUAUUAAUUCAAGUAUUUUUCAUCCCUCAAGUAUUUAUGAAACAUACUUGAAUCCCAUAUCUCAUCAUUGUAUUCACAAUUGUGUUAUAUACCCUAAAUGGUUAAACAUAAUUAAACACAAUUGUCCG